rnacentral:lncRNA from 1 species
GGAAAAGAUGCCCCUCAAGAUGGCUGUGCCUGUCAGCUGCACGGAGCUUCGGUCAAGUAUUAUUUUCUGAGCCUGAUGGAUUUACAGUAAAUAUUCAGUCAUCUAGGGAAUAACCCUGGUGGAACCUUGCACUGGAAUGACAUAUGCCCAGCACAUUUCAGGAUACUUAAAGUGGUUUUAACGGUUGCUCUGGCUGAAUGCCUCAUGGAUUCUUACAGCUUGGAUGCCCAUGGGGGACGAGGGGUUGCAGCUGGCUGCAAGGACUAAGAUCUCUGUUUACUUGGGUCUCUGCCAACUUCCUUUGGGUCUCCCUGUGGAACCUAAGACCCCGACUCUCCUGGUGAAGCAUCUCACACACGUUCUGUCCGGCGUUCAGCUGGGCUUGAGGGAGAAGUCACGUAACUGCUUGGCUGGGCCUACCGUUUAGGCAGAUGGAGACUCAUGCACUGUGACUUUGGGUCAAGAGAAAUUUUGAGAAACACAUUGAAGGAUCUGUUAACACUUGGUAAACCCAGUAAAAGCAGUGGUUGUGCCAGUCCUGAUCUGUCUUGCUGUGAAUGUGAACACUGGGAACCCGAGCUAAGCAGGUAAAUAAUCACUUAGCAUAGUCACCAUCUUCAGCGUUUGAGAUGACUGCCAGGGUAAACCGUACUGUGUCGGAGAUGCAAUGCUAAUUCUGUUGGAAUUAAAAAUAUGCAAGUGUGGUAUUAGAUAUUUGGGCACGCCAUAAUGUGAAAUUUCUCAUUGAUAAGAUUCUGACAUAGGAACUACACUUGAGUAAGAAUCAUAGCUCAGUACGGCAUGAUUUCAGGGAAGUCAACUGAUAAGAUAAAAGUAUUUCUGGGGCGGAACAGCAAGAAUCUUUUGC